CACCAUUUAACUAACUAUGGGAAAAGAGCCAGUCCUUCUCAAAGCCUUGAGAAAUGUAAACAAACCAUAAAUAAUGGAUUUAUUAGUUUAAUUACUCAGUUCUCCCACAUGUUCAGUUGGGAAGCUGGGAAGCCAAAUGAAGCUAAUUGUAAAUGUGUGGUUGACAAAUACAAGGCCGGAAUGGUCAGGUAAUUGAAAGGCCAGGAGGAGGAGCAGUGGCUGACGUUGUUUCAUUGCUCCUGGAGGAGGAAGGGAGAGGUAUUGCUAGUGGGUAGCGAAGCCUCAUUUGCAGCCCAGAAGCAGGAACACACAGUAAGUGAUGACUGAUCAGAGCUGCAGGACCUCGCAUCUCAGUCUCAUAAUGUCUCAGAGCUUCACAGCGGGAAGGAGCACCGAGACCUUCACAUCUUGCAAUGUCUCAGGGAAGGAGACCAGGCUAUUUCCCUUAGGAAUGCAAGCCUGCUCUGUGUGGAGGCACUUACAUCCCAUCAGCUUAAGAAGGGUGGAGGAGGGGAGAAAGAGAGAUUAA
rnacentral:lncRNA from 1 species